rnacentral:rRNA from 1 species
AACCUGGUUGAUCCUGCCAGUAGUGUAUGCUUCUCCUAAAGACUAAGCCAUGCAUGCCUUCGAAUACGAGGAAGCAAUUCUCUCUGAAUCUGCGAACGGCUCCGCAAACCAGUUGUAAACUAUAGCAAGCAAUCCUGCGGGCGGCUUCGGCUGCUCGUGGGUAACAUGGAUAACCCUGGUAAUUCUGAGGCUAAUACAAGAACGUACUCCCUGGCUGACCGGCAACGGAAGGCUGGGGAGCGUGCAACGUAUCGUAGGGAUAAACCGGGAAUGGGUGCACGCUUGGACCGCGCUAAAGACAGAUCUCGGCGAGCCUUCGGGUGAGCCUUGGCCUGAGCGGCUCUUGCUGUGUGCUUCUGACCUAUCAACUAGACGGCAGCGUAAGGGACAUGCUAUGGUUACAACGGGUACAGAGGAUUAGGGUUCGAUCCUGGAGAGUGGGCCUGAGAGAUUGCUCAUACUUCUAAGGAAGGCAGCAGGCGCGCAACGUUCCCCUUGGGCAAUGCCCGAGGGCGUUAGGGGACAUAUGAAUGCCUGCCAUAUUGGUGGGCAAUUCAAAUGGGUCUGUUCUAAACAGCCUCUCGAGUAAUA